UGUUGUUAUGUUAUUUUCGCGCCGAUUCCCUCCCGUCGACGUUGAACGUCGGUCAGACGGAACUAUAGUUUCUGUAUUAAAGAUGUGUGGGUGUUCGUAGAAGUUAAAUGCUUAACUAAAUUAUUGAACACUGUUGAAUAAAAUUUAACCGAUCAUGGCUGAAGAUCUUACUUUAAAUGACCAUCAUAGUGAAAUGAUUGGAAAUUAUUUACGAUUUGCAAAAUUUAGAAGAGGGAAGCAUUUACGAACUGUGGAGCAAACUUUUGAAGACAUUAAACUGUCGAGGUUAAUGGAAGAAACGUAUACAGUUGAAGAAGUAAAAGAAAUGUUAGAUGAAUUAUGUUCAUUGCUAAAAGGUGAUCUUGAGAUAGAAUUGAUGAACACAGCUCAUACAGCAGCACUUCUUCUGUGUCAGAUGUGUGUUCAGUCACAGCAGUGGCAUCUGAAACUUAAUGCUGACAUCUCAGAACUGGAAAAUAGAGACAUGUUGGAAAAAGUAAAUAAGUUUGAAGAAAGAUUUGUGAACAGCAAUUCUCUUGAUAAAUCUUUAACUGGCUCUCCGCUGCGUUUGAAUAAACUACAACCCCUAGCUGAAAAUGUUGGAGCCAAUCAAUUACUUCAAUUGGAAAUUGACCGAUUGAAAGAAGAGAAUAAAAAACUUUGUGAUAAACUGAGAGAAGUGGAAACUCGGACACUUGAAAUACUAGAACAAAAAUCUAUUUUAGCUGAAAAUCUAGCCCAAGUACAAGAAGAAUUGACUGAGUGGAAAGGGAAAAAUACUGAAUGUGUGGAAAAGGAGUUAAAGCAUUUAGAAGAUGAAAUGUUUCAAGUCAAGAAAGAAUUGGAAUCAAAAACUGAAAAGAAGAGAAUAUGUUUUUUCAGACUAUGUGUGAGAGUGCCUAUACUCAACAAACUUUGCAAUGUGAUCUAAUGGAAACAAAACAAAGGUUUCUUGAGGUUCAGUCUCAACUGAAAUUAGCAGAAAAGGAAUUAGAGUUGAAAUUUAGUCAGACUGGAGCUUUCCAAAACAUGAAGCAAAUCUUAGCAACUAAAAAUGAACAAAUCAAAGAUUUACGACAACGGCUUCGCAAGUAAGUCUUUACUUUUAUUUUCC
rnacentral:misc_RNA from 1 species